GAUGAACGCUGGCGGCGUGCCUAAUACAUGCAAGUCGAGCGGACGGACGAGAAGCUUGCUUUUCUGAUGUUAGCGGCGGACGGGAGAGUCACACGUGGAUAACCUACCUAUAAGACUGGGAUACCUUCGGGAAACCGGAGCUAAUACCGGAUAAUAUUUUGAACCGCAUGGUUCAAAAGUGAAAGACGGUCUUGCUGUCACUUAUAGAUGGAUCCGCGCUGCAUUAGCUAGUUGGUAAGGUAACGGCUUACCAAGGCAACGAUGCAUAGCCGACCUGAGAGGGUGAUCGGCCACCCUGGAACUGAGACACGGUCCAGACUCCUACGGGAGGCAGCAGUAGGGAAUCUUCCGCAAUGGGCGAAAGCCUGACGGAGCAACGCCGCGUGAGUGAUGAAGGUCUUCGGAUCGUAAAACUCUGUUAUUAGGGAAGAACAUAUGUGUAAGUAACUGUGCACAUCUUGACGGUACCGAAUCAGAAAGCCACGGCUAACUACGUG
rnacentral:rRNA from 1 species